CUCUCUCUCUCGGUGACUGUUUUAUAAAAUAUUGUUUCAGUCCCGCUCUUUAACUUAAAUGUCUCUCUCUCUCUCUCUCCAGUCUCCCCCCCUCCCCUCUCUCUUCAAAAACCAGAUCUGCGACCCUCACAACCCCCUCCGUUUCCAACCAUCACUGAUGGCCUCUCCUUCUAUCUUUUUCAUGUUAUCUGCACUUUCCUUCACACAUGGGUCUGAUCAAUUUUAUAACAGUAAUCUUUUCUUCUGUCAUAUUGCGAUUUAUUCGAUUUGCCUGUAAAUUUGUAAAAAUUGUGUAUCUUUUGUUUGUAUGGUAGAAAUUUCUUUUUCCUUUUUGUGAGUGUUGAUUAUGAAUUGAGUUUUUGGGUUUAUUUCUGUUUUGGGUUUUGAUCUUGAAUUUUUUAUUUUUUAUUUUAUUUUUUUUAUUGAUGCUUGCAGGUUGUAUUGUUUGGCUGUUAAAACCCUCUGCCAACCUCAUCUCUCAGGUAUAGUUUCUGGGUUUGAGUUUUUAUUGAUUUGAGAUGGACUUUGAAUUGGGUUUUCCUGAGGAGACCAAUCUUGUAUCUUUCUUAGUACUGCUAAUAUCUACUAAUACUACUGCAUCUAACAAUAUUGAAUCGCUGCAUGAAGUACCACUUGAAAGGAGCUUUCUGUUAGAUUUAUUUGAUCCGAAUCCCAUUUUACAUGAUGGAACUUUCUGUUGUACUUUACUGUAUAUGAAUAUCUCUUUAAAGGUAGUCAUAUGCUUCUUCUUUCUUAUCUUGCUCCUGCAGUUUGCUUCAACAAGGAAUGAAACAAAUAAUAAUAAGCCCAGAAACCUCUGAAGCUAAAGCAUUAGAGAAGGUGGAGGAUAAGUCCAAAGUUGCCAGGGCAUUGAAGGAAAGUGUUCUCCAUCAAAUAUGUGAGGCAAAGCCAUUGGCUUUGAUCAUUGAUUGGAAUUCACUCCUGUCUAACAAAAAGAAGAGAACUGUGAUGUAUUUCUUUGUAUUUUGCUGCUGAGUUAACUGACUAAUUUUUGUGCAAGCUGAUUUACUUAGCAACUUGGAUAAUUACUGCUUACUCAUUUCCUUUGCAAUUUGGGCUUUUGUUAAUUGUUUUUAUACCCUAUACUAAUAUUUGUGUAUGUUGUUAUUAAUUGCAGGCACAUACUAUACUAGAUUUCCCAACUUUCUUGCUUGUUAGCUCAAUAGAAAAUAGUUGAUUGAGCCUUCAAACAUUUAAAACCAAUUGCAGGUGCUUGGCAGCAAAGGGUGAAGAGUCUGGUGAAUGUGAAAGAUAUUCCAAAUAUUAUCGUUCGCCAUGCCCAGGUGAAUGGGCAAGUAUUUCUUAGCUCAUUUCUUCUGCAAUUAUUUGUCUUCCAAUAAAAUCUGAUUGGAAGUUUAACUUCUUCUGUUAAACUUUUUCAUAAAUGUAUUAAAUUGUUGGUACUUUACUCAUACGUAGAUUGUCAUUGCAUAAACUGUGACAUGACUGUGUAAGGAUUGCUUAAUCUGAACUUUAACUUGCAGCAUAGCCCUGGCAAAGUUUGCACCAGAAUCACAGGGCACACUGAAUUUUAAGUUUGGAACUUCUUCUGGAGCUGUAUCUUAGCCUUGAGAACUUUUUAGUUAGAAACUUGUAUGUGAUAACAGUACUAUUGGGAUGGAGUGGGUUAUGUAAUGCUGUAUUGGGUUUGAUUUAUAAUACUCAUAGUGACAUUACUGUAAUCUCUAUGGUACAAUGAAUGAAGUUAUUAAUUUUAUUUUCA